rnacentral:rRNA from 1 species
AUUGAACGCUGGCGGAAUGCUUUACACAUGCAAGUCGAACGGCAGCACGGGGGCAGCCCUGGUGGCGAGUGGCGAACGGGUGAGUAAUACAUCGGAACGUGCCCGGUCGUGGGGGAUAACGUAGCGAAAGUUACGCUAAUACCGCAUACGAUCUGAGGAUGAAAGCGGGGGACCUUCGGGCCUCGCGCGAUCGGAGCGGCCGAUGUCAGAUUAGGUAGUUGGUGGGGUAAAGGCCUACCAAGCCGACGAUCUGUAGCUGGUCUGAGAGGACGACCAGCCACACUGGGACUGAGACACGGCCCAGACUCCUACGGGAGGCAGCAGUGGGGAAUUUUGGACAAUGGGCGCAAGCCUGAUCCAGCCAUUCCGCGUGCAGGACGAAGGCCUUCGGGUUGUAAACUGAUUUUGUACGGAACGAAAAGGCUCUGGCUAAUACCUGGGGCUCAUGACGGUACCGUAAGAAUAAGCACCGGCUAACUACGUG